rnacentral:misc_RNA from 1 species
UUGAAGAUUUUUUGAAUUAUAUCAACAAAUGACUAUGGUUUAAAAAUUAAUCACAUUGAUUAAAAAUGAAGUUAUAAUAAUCUUUGCCCCCGAAAGAGCAAAGCAAUAUUUUCAAAGAAAAGAAAACAUGUGUGUAAGGUGUUUAGCCGCGCAAUCAAGCGCAGGCCAACGAAUACAGUAAUGAUCCUUCCGCAGGUUCACCUACGGAAA